rnacentral:rRNA from 1 species
CCUACGGGAGGCAGCAGUGGGGAAUAUUGGACAAUGGGGGCAACCCUGAUCCAGCCAUGCCGCGUGUGUGAAGAAGUCCCUCGGGUUGUAAAGCACUUUCAGUGAGGAAGAACGCCUGGUGGUUAAUACCCAUCAGGAAAGACAUCACUCACAGAAGAAGCACCGGCUAACUCCGUGCCAGCAGCCGCGGUAAUACGGAGGGUGCGAGCGUUAAUCGGAAUUACUGGGCGUAAAGCGCGCGUAGGUGGCUUGAUAAGCCGGUUGUGAAAGCCCCGGGCUCAACCUGGGAACGGCAUCCGGAACUGUCAAGCUAGAGUGCAGGAGAGGAAGGUAGAAUUCCCGGUGUAGCGGUGAAAUGCGUAGAGAUCGGGAGGAAUACCAGUGGCGAAGGCGGCCUUCUGGACUGACACUGACACUGAGGUGCGAAAGCGUGGGUAGCAAACAGGAUUAGAUACCCGAGUAGUC